GAUGAACGCUGGCGGCGUGCCUAAUACAUGCAAGUCGAGCGAACGGACGAGACGCUUGCUUUUCUGAUGUUAGCGGCGGACGGGUGAGUAACACGUGGAUAACCUACCUAUACGACUUGGAUAACUUCGGGAAACCGGAGCUAAUACCGGAUAAUAUUUUGAACCGCAUGGUUCAAAAGUGAAAGACGUUCUUGCUGUCACUUAUAGCUGUCUCCGCGCUGCAUUAGCUAGCUGGUAAGGUAACGGCUUACCAAGGCAACGAUGCAUAGCCGACCUGAGAGGGGGAUCGGCCACACUGGAACUGAGACACGGUCCAGACUCCUACGGGAGGCAGCAGUAGGGAAUCUUCCGAAAUGGGCGAAAGCCUGACGGAGCAACGCCGCGUGAGUGAUGAAGGUCUUCGGAUCGUAAAACUCUGUUAUGAGGGAAGAACAUAUGUGUAAGUAACUGUGCACAUCGUGACGGUACCUAAUCAGAAAGCCACGGCUAACUACGUG
rnacentral:rRNA from 1 species